GAUUUCUGGCUUGAAACAUUUUGCCGGCCACGGUUUCGUGUGUUAGUGCUUGAUGUUCUGGCCAUCCUUCCAAUCGCUAUUCACCUUUCUUCAUUGAUUGGUGAGUGGUAUUGGAUCUUUUACUUUGAAAAAAUUAGAGUGUUUCAAGCAGGCGUUUUGCUAUGAAUACAUUAGCAUGGAAUAAUGAGUUAGGACUUCGGUUCUAUUUUGUUGGUUUCUAGGACUGAAGUAAUGAUUGAUAGGGAUAGUUGGGGGUGCUAGUAUUCAGCGGCCAGAGGUGAAAUUCUUGGAUUCGCUGAAGACUAACUUAUGCGAAAGCAUU
rnacentral:rRNA from 1 species